CCUACGGGUGGCAGCAGUGAGGAAUAUUGGUCAAUGGGCGCGAGCCUGAACCAGCCAAGUCGCGUGAGGGAAGAAUGCCCUACGGGUUGUAAACUUCUUUUGUCAGGGAGUAAAGUGAGCCACGUGUGGCUGUUGGAGAGUACUUUAUGAAUAAGGAUCGGCUAACUCCGUGCCAGCAGCCGCGGUAAUACGGAGGAUGCGAGCGUUAUCCGGAUUUAUUGGGUUUAAAGGGCGCGUAGAUGGGUUUUUAAGUCAGUUGGUAAAGUUUGAGGCUCAACCGUAAAAUGGCAAUUGAUACUGGCAGUCUUGAGUACAGUUGAGGUAGGCGGAAUGCGUGGUGUAGCGGUGAAAUGCUUAGAUAUCACGAAGAACUCCGAUUGCGAAGGCAGCUUACUAAACUGCCACUGACGUUGAUGCUCGAAAGUGUGGGUAUCAAACAGGAUUAGAUACCCUGGUAGUC
rnacentral:rRNA from 1 species